GAGGGCAAAAUGUGAGGUAGAAAGGAUACCGCCAAUCUUACAGAUGCGGAGGAGAGGAGAGUACCAUCGUUACUACUGUGAUGGCAUACCUGGACUUUGCCCUGAGUGCCAACAUUGAAUUCAAAGAAAAUAUAAGUUGCUUUCCACAAUCUGUCACAUAUUGUUAGUUUUUUUUGUGACAUGCCAUUUGAAAUCGUUUCUGAUAAAGAAUAUUUACCUUUUGA